rnacentral:rRNA from 1 species
GGACGAACGCUGGCGGCGUGCUUAACACAUGCAAGUCGAGCGGAAAGGCCCUUCGGGUUACGUCGAGCGGCGAACGGGUGAGUAACACGUGAGUAAUCUGCCUCUAGCUCUGGGAUAGCUCCGGGAAACCGGGAUUAAUACCGGAUACGACCACUCAAGACAUCUUCUGUGGUGGAAAGAAUUUCGGCUAGAGAUGAGCUCGCGGCCUAUCAGCUUGUUGGUGGGGUAACGGCCACCAAGGCGACGACGGGUAGCCGGCCGUGAGAGGGCGACCGGCC